AGUGGUUGGGCUCAGUGAUAGAGAGUGUGCUUAGCAUGCACAAGCUCCUGGGUUCGAUCCCCAGCACCUCCA
rnacentral:tRNA from 1 species